rnacentral:piRNA from 1 species
UUGAGCUUCAUGUGGUCUGUGGAUUAUAUC